rnacentral:rRNA from 1 species
GACGAAGGAUGCAAGCGUUAUCCGGAUUCACUGGGUUUAAAGGGUGCGUAGGCGGACUUGUAAGUCAGUGGUGAAAUCUCUUUGCUUAACAAAGAAACUGCCAUUGAUACUGCAGGUCUAGAGUAUAGAUGACGUUGGCGGAAUAUGACAUGUAGUGGUGAAAUGCAUAGAUAUGACAUAGAACACCAAUUGCGAAGGCAGCUCACUAAGCAGCGAUUGACGCUGAGGCACGAAAGCGUGGGGAUCAAACAGG